GUGGUAAUGCCGGAUGCUCCGACUCCUCGCAUGGGGUGUCGGGAAAGAUUUCAUCGGUAUGGGAUGGGGUCGCGUCCUAUCAGGUAGUCGGCGGGGUAACGGCCCACCGAGCCUACGACGGGUAGCCGGCCUGAGAGGGCGACCGGCCACAUUGGGACUGAGAUACGGCCCAGACUCCUACGGGAGGCAGCAGUGGGGAAUAUUGCACAAUGGGCGCAAGCCUGAUGCAGCGACGCCGCGUGCGGGAUGACGGCCUUCGGGUUGUAAACCGCUUUUGAUCGGGAGCAAGCCUUCGGGUGAGUGUACCUUUCGAAUAAGCACCGGCUAACUACGUGCCAGCAGCCGCGGUAAUACGUAGGGUGCAAGCGUUAUCCGGAAUUAUUGGGCGUAAAGGGCUCGUAGGCGGUUCGUCGCGUCCGGUGUGAAAGUCCAUCGCUUAACGGUGGAUCUGCGCCGGGUACGGGCGGGCUGGAGUGCGGUAGGGGAGACUGGAAUUCCCGGUGUAACGGUGGAAUGUGUAGAUA
rnacentral:rRNA from 1 species